rfam:Firmicutes bacterium CAG:536 genomic scaffold, scf103
CGUAGUAACAUCGAAUCGUAAGAAGUCAGCAGAGGUCAUAGUAAAGGGAAACCUUGAAGGAC